GACGUAGGAGGCGAGCGUUAUCCGGAUUCACUGGGCGUAAAGCGCAUGUAGGCGAUUGGUCAAGUCAUGUGUUAAAGCCCCCGGCUCAACUGGGGGAGGUCAUGUGAGACUGAUUGACUUGAGGGCAGCAGAGGUAUGUGGAACUCCCGGUGUAGCGGUGGAAUGCGUAGAGAUCGGGAAGAACACCCGUGGCGAAGGCAGGUCUCUGGGCUGACACUGACGCUCAUGCACGAAAGCGUGGGGAGCAAACAGG
rnacentral:rRNA from 1 species